AUGCGUGAGGAGGAGGAGGCCGUGGUCAUGGUGGCGCAACGGAGGUCGUGGCUCGCCCCCCGCCGCCUCUCUCGCGCCCCCCUUUUCCUUGCCCCUCCCCAGCGUCCUUGCCUCUGCCAUGGCCUCCGCCCCCCUCUCCGCGUCACCCCCGCAGCCGCCUCCUCUCCUGCCGCCGCGCCGCCUCAGCCUCGUCUCCUCUGCGCCGCCUCCCCCUCUCCACUUCUCUCCGCCACCGCAUGGCCGCCGUCGCUGCCGCCGCUCGUCUCUUUCUUCACGCAGCUCCUGCAGGACGACGCAUCCCCAUCCUCCAUCAGCCGCUGUGGCGUGCACUACGUGGACGUGGACCGAGCGCGGGACAAGGUGACGGUGACCGGCACGGCGAGCCAGAAGAAGGUGUUGCGCGUGGCGCGGCGCACGAGGAAGCUCGCCCACGCCCCUCCUCCGCUCGCUCUCGUCUCCGUCAGGCUGCUGAUGUUCACUCCAUUGGAGCUGAGUCUCCUUGCCGGCGACCUUGCCAUCACCAGGCUGUCUACAGGGAUGGACAUAUGGAUUGAAUGGUACCCUCCUGAAACCUACGCAGGUGUCAGAUCGGAGAACGAAGAGAUGAAGAACAAUGUUAGCUGA
rnacentral:rRNA from 1 species